rnacentral:rRNA from 1 species
UACGGAGGGUGCAAGCGUUAUCCGGAUUCACUGGGUUUAAAGGGUGCGUAGGCGGGCAGGUAAGUCAGUGGUGAAAUCUCCGGGCUUAACCCCGGAACUGCCGUUGAUACUAUCUGUCUUGAAUAUCGUGGAGGUAAGCGGAAUAUGUCAUGUAGCGGUGAAAUGCUUAGAUAUGACAUAGAACACCGAUUGCGAAGGCAGCUUACUACACGAUCAUUGACGCUGAGGCACGAAAGCGUGGGGAGCAAACAGG